GCCUCCAAAGUGUCCAGAAUAUGGACUGUGACGCAAUCCCGAGGUUGCAGGUUCGAGUCCUGUCGGGGGCG
rnacentral:tRNA from 1 species